rnacentral:rRNA from 1 species
GAUGAACGCUGGCGGCGUGCCUAAUACAUGCAAGUCGAGCGAACAGACGAGGAGCUUGCUCCUCUGACGUUAGCGGCGGACGGGUGAGUAACACGUGGAUAACCUACCUAUAAGACUGGGAUAACUUCGGGAAACCGGAGCUAAUACCGGAUAAUAUAUUUAACCGCAUGGUUCAAUAGUGAAAGACGGUUUUGCUGUCACUUAUAGAUGGAUCCGCGCCGCAUUAGCUAGUUGGUAAGGUAACGGCUUACCAAGGCGACGAUGCGUAGCCGACCUGAGAGGGUGAUCGGCCAAACUGGAACUGAAACACGGUCCAGACUCCUACGGGAGGCAGCAGUAGGGAAUCUUCCGCAAUGGGCGAAAGCCUGACGGAGCAACGCCGCGUGAGUGAUGAAGGUCUUCGGAUCGUAAAACUCUGUUAUUAGGGAAGAACAAAUGUGUAAGUAACUAUGCACGUCUUGACGGUACCUAAUCAGAAAGCCACGGCUAACUACGUG